UCGCAAACAGGCUAUAGUAUUGAAAUCAGAAAAGUAAAACUAAUAAAUCCUAUUACAUGUUUUUACAACUAAAUCAAAUUUAGUCAACUCCAAUUACCACUAGUCCCACAGACUCGAUCUUGAUUACUCUUCCUGACCAUCAGGUUGAAACUUAAUCACUUGCAAUCCUCGCCUAGCCUUACUCUUACGCUUAGCAUAAAUAGGCGAACCAUCUUUAACAUUAUCUGAAAGGGGUUAGAAGAAAUAGCAAGAAUGAGCAAAAGAAUGCUCAGCAAGUAUAUAAUAUCCAAACCAACAAUAAAUCAAACAGUAUGUAAAACCUGACAAUGAUAUAAAGAUAAUGAUACCAACACAAUAUGAUUUAAACAAAACAGUUUCUCCUUUAUGGAAUUGGAACCAGAUAAGACGCUACGAGCUAAGCUGGGUGAUCAGCCCACGACAUAGCUCCGAACCCGCAUAUUCAAUACGAGUUCUCAAAUAUAAAGGAUCCUAGGCACACUUUGGCCUUUAAUAAUUCAAUUGGGACCGGCGCCUCGGUCAUAAAACAUUUUCAUCCAAUUCCCUUUCUAAAACAGAUAAAUCAAAUCAUUUUUCAUUUUAAGACCAAGGUUCAAAAUCUGUAAGCAACAUUGAUUCUCAACCAAAUAUUCAUUUCAACACCUUAGCAUUAGAUUUCUACUAAUUAAGUAUUCUUUAUCAAGGGUAUAGGUUACUGAAUCAAGUGUAUCAAUGUAUUUUAUAAUAAUGGCAGGGUAGGUUGUAUGAUGAUAACUAAGGUCUUUCAAGAAAUGGGGUUUCAUUUCUGGGUCAGGAACAAACAAGUGAACUAGUUUUUUUUAUAAGCAAGAACACAAUUUGUUGUAGUUAAAAGGGAGGUAAGAAAACAAGGUUCUAAGCUCAAUAAUAAGUAACUAGCAGUUGAAGAAGAUAAGGAUGAUAAUUAAGUUGAUACAUUUGCAAGAUAUAAGUGACAAAAGGUAUUCCAUUUCAUACUUGGGUAAUUCCAGAAUACUCGUAAUUAGUAGAAGUCUAAUUCUAUAAGGAGUUUUGCAAUAUUCAAAGCAUAACAAAAGCAUUGCAGGAGCAAAAUCUUUUAAAGAGAAAGUAGGUUGGAUAUAUACUUGCCUUUAACUCCGGUGUCUAUCUCAAAUUUCUAUUAACACUAUGUAGUGCCAUAUCAUUCCUUUCAGCUAGCUUCUGACAAGAUUCUAUCAAUAGCAAAUCUCUGCCUAACUUCAACUUGCAACACUACCUUGGCUAUUUCUGAAUAUCCAUUUCAAUCACUUCUCGAUCCAUGCCACGAUCAACAUCUCGUUCAACUCUAUACGAUAAUAAAACAGUAUUUCAGUCGUCAAAUCCGACUGAUUAACUAACUCCAAAAGGCAUUAAGACCUAUAUAUAACUACCCUUCGCAUAUACAUACCACGUAGCCAGAUAAACACAUAGCACAUAGUUGAACAAUUAACUUUUAUAGAUAUUAAAAGUCAAUAUUGAUAAGUUAACAUAUAACAUGUUUCAGUUAACCAUGUCACCUUAUUCUAAUCUAUUUAAUAUCCUUUAACAAGUAAAACAUAUAUAGUUUCUAACGAAAAUUCGACAGCACUUCCUCUAUUUAUCGGACUAUCCACCUGUUUUCUUAUAUUAUUCAACAAGUAACCAGCUCAAUCCAACUCAAUAAACCAAUAAGUACGGGACCAAUAUCAGUUAAAACACAAUAUCACAGUAUGCACACUCACAUCGCUAGAUUUGAAAUCAUAUAUCACUGUUAGACAUGAUUAACACUGAUCAACCAAGUAUAACCUCCUCCUAUGCACUAAUCAAAGAAAGAAAACUAGAACAAAUAGUUCAAACAGCCCUCACUCUAUGAUUUUUAAUAAAUUGAAAAUUUAUCUUUUUAAUACAAAAUUUUUAUGAGACACUCCUAAACAUUAUUCCAAUCUACUAUAAAAAUUUCAGAAGCAAAUUCCAUGUUUAAGAGAGUAAAACAGGGCCUGCAAGUCAAGAACCUGAAUCUGUCCUGCAGAACCAGCCCCACGCUAAGAAUUUUAAUAAAUAGAAAAAUUGGUCUGUUUGUAUAAAAUUUUAAUGACAUAUUCCAGACACUAACAUCUAACUCCAGUAAAAAUUUCAGAAUUAAACACCAAGUAUAAGGCCUCCAAACAGAGUCUGCAAUCAGUACAACAGACCCUGUCGAGGAACUCUGCGCACGAAGCACCUCUUUGAUCAUAACUUUUAACUCAAUUAUGAUUAUAAUCUAAUUCUUUCGCAGGUGUAAUCUACACUCCAAAUUGUAACUUGUCACCAAAAUUCAUUGAAAUAUAACAUUCUUAAGACAACUAAAUGUUUGUACCAAAAUAGUAGAAAAUGGUAGCCACUCGAGAACCAAUCUGCACCUAUACAACUCAAUCGCUUAUAACUUUUAAUACAUUUAGCAAAACAUAGUAAUUCUUUUUCAUACUUAAUCUAAACUUCAAGAAACAUAAAAUCACCGAGAAAUCAAGCAUAUCAUACGAACUAAACAAUUCCAAAACAGAGAUUCAAAACAAGACAGCACUGCUACGGAAGCUUGACAACAAUUGACUCAAUUCUAAUGCCACAACUCAAACUAAUCAAAACCCAUAUAACUACAUAUCUUUAUAUGUGUAAUCUGAUUCGAAUUAAAAAAAAAUACUAAUUCACAGCUUUAGACAUCACACAAGCAGGUCUGUACAUAUACAUACACACAAAACCAAUAAAGGAGACAAUUCAAAAUAUACCCAAUUAGAAUAACCAGAGGUGUAGGUGGGUUGUGGCCAAUAGAGUUAAUUGACCGGAGAACUGAAGUAUAAGGCUGGCUUCGAGGGCCACUGUGCAGCGACUGGAGAUGUGGUAGGAGGCUAGGAGCGGAGGAUGGCAGCUACGGAGAAAUCCGGCGGCGGCAGGACAACCCGACAAAGCACGGUGCCGGGAAACGAAGCAGCGGGUACAAAGGUGAAAGAUGGAAGCGGGUGAGUGUUCAGAGAGAGAGAGAGAGACGCGAGAGAUUGAGGGAUAGCAAGGGAUUGAGGGAGAUUGAGAAACAGUGACGAGAGAGAAUUGAUGAGAGACGAGGGUUUUAGAGUCUGUAAAUUAGGGAAGAAAGAUGUACGUGGCAGUAGAAUAGAAAGGAUACAUGACCACGCGGCUUAAUUAUAACCUGCCAUCUAUUAUUUUAUAUAUUGACUAAUCAACUAUCAAAUACCCGCUUUUAACUGAUUUACGGAGAUAAAUCACAGCAAAAUUUCUCC
rnacentral:lncRNA from 1 species